CAUUUUGCAUAAAAUAAUAACUGGAAAACUCCAAAGUGCAACAUUACAUCUUUUUGUCUUUAAAUAGCCUACAACUAUGUAAAAGACAUGUGAUCGCUUCUCCUUUAUUUUUUUUCUUCCACAGGGCAGGGGAAGGCAGUAAUGUGAAAAGAAGUGAAAUGAAAAUGUUUUAUGACUCCUGGGACGCUUGUGCGUGCAGGAAGUCGUCGGCAUGAGGUUGGGCUACAGAGCCUGAGACCCAUUUAUUUGGUCUAUACAACGUUCCUCUUCACUGAAUCAUCCCCAGUGCUAAACAUUCGAGCCGUCCAUAAAACGGUGAAUGAUACAGAAUGAUACAAUGGAGUGCUGGAGAGAGGAAACAGGAAAGUUGCAGGGCCUAUUGAUCAUCAUAGAGUAAGAAAGAGGCAUGCUAUAAGUCUAGAAACGUGUGAGGUGAAGACUGGAGAUGAUGUUCUUGAAACAUGGAAGAAACUCACACCUGAGUGUUAUCCACUUGAUUACAACACCUGACUCAUUGGCUGAAAAGGUUUUCACAUCCAACACCAAUGUCUCGGAGCUCCGCCCCUUCUCCACUACAACAUGAGAUGAAAACCGGUCUAAACUAGAUCGGCAGCCAGGGCUGUUUUCUGAGUAAACCAGUCCCAGAGAAACCUGGUCCAGUCUGCUUGACCCUACAGUUAUUUUUGUUUGUAGCUUCUCUGGAUAUUUUCUAACAUAUCAUUCAUUCAGUUUAUCCCGGUCAGGGUCACGGUGGAUGCUGUAACAUGGGAUAAUGAGGCAAGACUCUAGUAUGGAUGCUCGGUGUGAGCUUUAAUAAGGGAUAUCCGGGAACCAGGGUGUACAAAGGGGCUCGGAGUGCAUCGGUACAUCUGAGGAGUAAAUCAAAUAAACAGGCAAAAGUAAGAAAAGCUCGAAUAGAGGAAAACAAGGCUGGGAAAAGACUUUUGAAAGAGACAUGAAGGAGACAAGCAGCAGUCACCACUCUGAGAACCACAAUGGAGAAAUUCUUCUGUUUUGAAAAAUGUAUUAAAAUAAAUCUAUUUAUGUAGUCCACAUCCUAUACGCUUCCAUGUUAAUCACCACAGUCUUCCUUUGUUCAACAUGCACCAUAUCUGCUUCCACAUAAACGAAAGUAAACACACCGACCCUACAUUUUAUCAGGUGCCAUGGAUCCCAGUCACUGCUGCACACAUGCAGUCUAAAUCUCAUUAAGAUACAGGACUAUCUUGCAAAGAAAAGACAAUCCAGGACAAAACCUAGCAAGAUAGGACAAGGUGGGGUAAGAUUAGACAGGGUAGGAUGAGACCGGACAGGACAAUGCAGGACGUGCCAAACAGGAAGGGAUGGCACAUGACAGGACAAGACUAGAAAGGAUUGAAU